AAGCCACUGCACUGACAGCCCCGGAUCCUUAACCUGCUGCGCCACAAGAGAAAGCAAACUCCCAUGCGAAGUUCUUUAUGGCUGGGACUUGGGGUUGGUCGUUGAGACCAGGCGUUUUUGUUAAAGGGCCUCACGGCCGCCCACGAGCUCCUUUGGCCAGCUGGUUGCCCUGCCUUCUGUGAUCCGAGAGCAGAUUCUGCGGUUUAAAGGGUACAGAGUGUGGCUCGCCGUCUGAUCGUUGUAUACAGCAGGCUGGGACCUGGCUUCUUGCAGCCGACAGGGUGGCAAGAGCGCACAGAAGCCACUUGAAGUUCAGCCCUUUUCCAGGGGCUGGACUUGCUCAUUUGUCUUUCUGUUCCUCUUCCACCCACAAAUCAACCUGUCCGUUUGUAGUGGGCAUACGAGCUGGGUCUGUCCAACGAGGAGCCGGUUAGUAUCCCGGUCCAUGCCUGCGAACACUUCUACCUUCUGACUCGCCCCUGGGAGACCCCUCUGCAGAGCAACACACCAACUGUGGUGGAUGCUGACGGCAGAAUUUACAUCCGCAACUGGCAGGGCGGCAUCCUGUCCGGGGGCUUCGAGAAGAACCCGAAACCGAUUUUCACCGAGGGCAAGAACCAGCUGGAGAUUCAGAAUCUGCAGGAAGACUGGGAUCACUUUGAGCCCCUGCUGAGCUCCCUCCUGCGCAGGAUGCCGGAGCUGGAGCGUCUGGAGAUCCUGAAGCUGGUCAACUGCCCCGAGACCUUCACCCCAGACAUGAGGUGCAUCCUGGGCGAGUCUCCUUCCGUGCGGGGCUACUUCGUCCUGGCGGGAAUGAACUCCGCCGGCCUUUCGUUUGGCGGAGGAGCGGGGAGGUAAGUGCUCCAGCCCGGCUUGCUGGGCUCCUCCUCUCUGGAGGUGCUUCCUGUUCACAUGGUCUGGGACAUACUCAGUCCAGGGUGUUCGGAGGAAGAGGAAGACCCGGUAGUGACAGAGCUGUCCCCUUCAAGGUACUCACCGGGGGGAGGCUCUCCCCGGCUUCCGGAAAUGUCACUGUGCCGAGCGUUUGUGGGAUUCCUCUUUCGGAGUCAGCCCGGAGCCUGGGGGAUGUUUUGUUUUUUGGUAAUAUUUAUGGUCAUAAUAAUUGUUGUUCAUUCAUGAAAUUGGAAAUAAAAAGAGUAGGUUUUGAGUUCCUGUUGUAGUGCAGCAGAAACAAAUCCGAUUAGGAACCAUGAGGUUGUGGGUUUGAUCCCUGGCCUUGCACAGUGGCUUAAGGAUCUGAUGUUGCUGUGAGCUUGGUGUAGGCUGCAGAUGCGGCUCGAACCUGGCGUGGCUGUGGCUGGCAGCUGUCAGUAGCCAUUCAUGCCGCUAUGACUCCAUAUGCCAUGGGUGUGGCCCUAAAAAGCAGGAGUAGGUUUGGAAGAUGAUGAGAUUGCAAUAGACAUAUGUGCCUACUCAGAGUUUCCCGGAUGUAGUUGCUCAAAAAACAGUUGGGUAGGGAGUUCCUGUUGUGGCUCAGCAGGUGAAGAACCCGACUAGAAUCCAUCCAUGAGGAUGUAGGUUUGAUCCCUGGCCUUGCUCAGUGGGUUAAGGAUCCACUGUUACCGUGAGCUGUGGCAGGCCAGCAAGUGCAGCUCUGAUUUGACCCCAGCCCAGGAACUUCCACGUGCCGCAGUUCAGCUUGCAAAGCAAAACAAAAUGAAACAGUUGGGUAAGCAGACUAAAGCUGAUGACUAAGUUUCUGGACGGAAGCUUAGAAUAGUAAAAGAUCCCUGGCUGCUUCUGUCUGAUGAUGUUUUUCUCUCUCUACUGCUGUGAGGAAAGGCACGCACAGCUCGUUUUUCCUACAGGCGUGGGCUCACUGGUACAGGAGUCACACGUCAAGCGCCAGGUUCCUGUGAUGAAGUCUGUUUUAAGGAAGGAUGUCCAGCUCAGUGACAGGAACCUGAGGACGAGCAACAGGAGGGCAGGGAUCUGCUUUACUCUGGCCUCACAGUCCCCUUUAUGCUUUGGUAGCUGGUACAAAUGGUUUCACGCAGUUUUUGUCCUUAGCAAUGGCAAAUACGUACACCUGGUUACUAAGGAUGCACAACAGUUCACAAGCGGACACGGCCAGUGUAGUUCAAAUGUCUGUUUAUUCAUUUAUAAACUUAGUAACAUGAAAUCAUAAUUGAAGUCUGGCUUGAUAGAAAUACAGUGCGCACUGUUAAUCCGGCAUUCUCAGAGGGCAGAAAUGCUCGGUCCCCGUGUGUGCCCUUCUCACCAGGGCUCAGGGGACGAGCCCAGUUACUAAAGUGCCUUGAACAUCUUCAGGACCACAUGCUGACGCUACACUGAGACUGAAGAGGCUGGGCUGAGCUGCACACUGACAAAUGCAAAUGAGUUCCAGCACUUGACAGUACUUGCAGAGGUGUUUUCAUACCUCCCAGGAGUUGACCAAAGAGGAGGGGAUUGGCUGUGCUGCUUGGAGACCUCUCGCUGAAACGAGCUGCAGCAGCUUUCAAUUCCCAGUCAUCUGCCGAAGGUACUUUUUCUCCGUCCUUCCUGUCCUCACCCACCAUGUGACACUCUGGAGUGUAAGGCACUAGAACCUGACUCGGAGGAAAGCGGUGUUCCCGGAUCUGGUUCUCGGUGUGCAUGGAAAACCUGGCAUGGAUCCACUGAAACAGAUGCUAAAAGUAUCCUCUCCACUUCUUAGAGUUUCUGUCCUUAAGAGACAGAAAAACGAGAAGGCAGAAGGCUUGCCAAGGAUAAAAAUAGGUGUAUCUAAAUAUGAGAAAAAUGGCCCAUGAAGAAAUGUGUAAUUCUCCAAGAGCUCUACUCAGAGAAGUCCAGACUCAUAUUAUACAAGGAACAGCUCUGGAGUUUCAUGGGCAAGGAGAACACAACGAGAUACAAAAAAUACUCAGUCCUCUUGAAAAAUAGUGUAUUUGCAGAGACUGCAGAUGCCAGCCCCGUAGUGACAAUGAAGGAGCCUUACAACUCAGCACCUUAAAGUGGAGGGCAGAGAGGCGGGGCGGGGCGCCGACAGACAGCCCCCCAGCUCUUGCAGGGCCUGGUUAAUGCCCGCGACAUCAGCCGCCGUCUCUUCCACCAGCUGUGCUUCUACUGCGUCCAUGUGCCUGCACGGGACGUGCCAGACGAGAAUUCCUUACUCAUGAGAAACUUUCCUCUACAUCAUAUUGAUAAAACGCUGCUUCUAUCAAAAUUUGUGAGAGAUGGGGUGGGAGGGUGUUCAGACAGAAUGAAAACAGUAGGUUAUAUGCUUCAGCAUUAAGCACUGUUGACUUCUCUUUUCUUAGAUACUAAAGAUGAACCCUGCUGAUGACACUGGCCCAGAGACAACAAAGAGAUAGAAAAAGGAACCUCACAGUUAAUGCCUAGAAGCCAGUCCGCACAACACUUCUCCCAGGACAGAGUCUGGGGUCAGAACCAAGACCUAGUUCAUGGACGAUCCCCUUCUAUCUGACCCAGGUUCUCAAGGGACGGUGACGACUCAAAUGCCAGCAAACGCGUCCGAAGGCCAGAGGAGAAAAGAGCUGGAAAUCACAGCAAGGAGGACACCUUUUAGUGAAGCAAAAUCGCUUUAGGAAGCUCCUAUCAUUCCUGCCACACACGUGCUGGCAGUGGGGGGGCUUCACAUCUCAAAUGCAUGCAAAGGCAGGUAAAGGAGAAAGCUCAUUUUUCAUGUUUAGCUACGUUUUUGGAAACAACAGCCCAGGAAAGAAGCGAUACAGCUGAAACUCUUGGUCUGUACAAGAAGGUGGAUCUGGGGACAGCACACCUCCUGCUGAGACUCAAACGCAGAAGCGACAGGCUCUGCUCCUGCCGAAAUGGGAAUUGUGGGGCCAAAGUAAGCCUAGGGUUCAUUACCGGGCUAAAGGGCACCUCUGCAUUUGGGGGUACAGGGACUCCCCAGAAGAGCACUAGAGAUGUAGCGGCAACUGCUGAGUUCUCUCGCCUGGAGCACAUCCUGCUGGUGCAGUGCUACGUGACCGAAACACAA